rnacentral:rRNA from 1 species
AGCGAACGCUGGCGGCAGGCUUAACACAUGCAAGUCGAACGCCCCGCAAGGGGAGUGGCAGACGGGUGAGUAACACGUGGGAACGUACCCUUUGGUUCGGAAUAACUUGGGGAAACUCAAGCUAAUACCGGAUAAGCCCUUAUGGGGGAAAGGUUUAGCUGCCGAAGGAUCGGCCCGCGUCUGAUUAGCUAGUUGGUGAGGUAAUGGCUCACCAAGGCGACGAUCAGUAGCUGGUCUGAGAGGAUGAUCAGCCACACUGGGACUGAGACACGGCCCAGACUCCUACGGGAGGCAGCAGUGGGGAAUAUUGGACAAUGGGGGCAACCCUGAUCCAGCCAUGCCGCGUGAGUGAUGAAGGCCUUAGGGUUGUAAAGCUCUUUUACCCGGGACGAUAAUGACUGUACCGGGAGAAUAAGCCCCGGCUAACUUCGUGCCAGCCGCCGCGGUAA